rnacentral:rRNA from 1 species
UACGAAGGGGGCUAGCGUUGUUCGGAAUUACUGGGCGUAAAGCGCGCGCAGGCGGCUCUUCAAGUCAGGGGUGAAAGCCCAGAGCUCAACUCUGGAACUGCCUUUGAGACUGAAGAGCUUGAGUACGGGAGAGGUGAGUGGAAUUCCCAGUGUAGAGGUGAAAUGCGCAGAUAUCAGGAGGAACACCAAUGGCGAAGGCAGCUCGCUGGGACGGUACUGACGCUGAGACGCGAAAGCGUGGGGAGCAAACAGG